GAUGAGCUGGUAGGGAGCAGGACCUGAGGAGCAGCUCUGACGGGUCGUGAGAUCUCUGAGGAGACCCCAUCUCAUGGCCGAUGAGCAAUUCAUCUGGAGUUAAUGUGCUGCAGCUGUGCUCUAAUGAGCUGAGGCCAGAGGAGAGACUCCACACCGCUGCGACACGCUCUGCAUUCAUCACUUCGACUCCUCCGUUUCACACAUCCAAAACCUGGAUAUCACACCAUCAGGCCACACGGGUCUCACACUGUCCACAGCUCCAACGUCACGUCUGUGUUUCUAGAUGUCGGAUUUCAGAUGCACCGCUUUUCUCCUCUUAAUCGUCCCUCAUUCCCUUCCCUGUGAUGGACACACGUGUGUUUUUUCCUGUCAGCAAUGAACAGUAAUCCUACAUGAACACAGACAGUUCACACACCAGUCAAGCCUGCAUGGCUGAUCUGAAGAGCUCUGAACUAACAACUCGAACAGAGCAUUACUGAUUUAAGUACCGUACAGUCAUCAGGGACACCAUGAUCUCAUUAGUAUUCAUAGCUAUUUGUAUGUUAAGUGCCAUUCGAGUGCAUACUGUACUUGUGUUUGUAUGUUUGCCAUUGUAUAUCUAAAAAGCUACAGUGUUUUAUGGAGGCCUUGUUGCAAUUGUAUAUGUCAGUACUGAGUAAUGUUAUUUAUUUUUUAAGAUUUGAUUCAGGGUUAUUGCAUAUGAUUAUGUAUCAAUUGCAAUUGUUAGUAUGUGAUGUGAACACUCAAAAAUAUGUAUGCUGUUUGUUCAAACUACCUAUUUAAAAUGAGCUGAAACAACACAAUUCUUGAGGUUUUUUUAUGUUCAAUUCACUUAAAUUUGUAUAAAAAAAUAAAAAAAACUAAUAAGCUA
rnacentral:lncRNA from 1 species